AGGGAUGUGGCUCAGUGGUAGAGCUUAUGCUUAACAUGUGCAAAGAACAGCCCUGGGUUCAAUCCAUAGCACCUCUG
rnacentral:tRNA from 1 species